rnacentral:rRNA from 1 species
UACGGGGGGAGCAAGCGUUGUUCGGAUUUACUGGGCGUAAAGGGCGCGUAGGCGGCCACCGCAAGUCGACUGUGAAAUCUCCGGGCUUAACCCGGAAAGGUCAGCCGAUACUGCGGGGCUAGAGUGCAGAAGGGGCAACUGGAAUUCUCGGUGUAGCGGUGAAAUGCGUAGAUAUCGAGAGGAACACCUGCGGCGAAGGCGGGUUGCUGGGCUGACACUGACGCUGAACUGCGAAAGCUAGGGGAGCGAACGGG